rnacentral:rRNA from 2 species
GGGUGUGAUCCAGAGAACUUUCCAGAGAUGGAUUGGUGCCUUCGGGAACUCUGAGACAGGUGCUGCAUGGUGUCGUCAGCUCGUGUUGUGAAAUGUUGGGUUAAGUCCCGCAACGAGCGCAACCCUUAUCCUUUGUUGCCAGCGUUCGGCCGGGAACUCAAAGGAGACUGCCAGUGAUAAACUGGAGGAAGGUGGGGAUGACGUCAAGUCUUCUGGCCCUUACGAGUAGGGCUACACACGUGCUACAAUGGCGCAUACAAAGAGAAGCGACCUCGCGAGACCAGGCGGACCUCAUAAAGUGCGUCGUAGUCCGGAUUUGGAGUCUGCAACUCGACUCCAUGAAGUCGGAAUCGCUAGUUAAUCGUAGAUCAGAAUGCUACGGUGAAUACGGUCCCGGGUCUGUGAACACACGGA